GCUGUCUUGCUGGGAGAAUUGUUUGGUGUCGGCGUUUGGUGUCUGCUUUCUCGUUGCUGUCCCUCCGAACUCAUCUGCUGUACCCUUUGUGUCGUUUCAGUCAACGCGUCUUUGCUCAACCGUGUGUUUUUGCGACUAGCGACUGCGGUUGUGCCGGUAGCGCGACUCAUCUCUGUAGCCUACGGCCUGGCUGUCUUACUGUGGUGAUCCUAAGUUCCCGAACCUGGAGGUGUGCCGUUUCUCCGCACCCUCGAACGUCACCAUAAAGCGGUCAAUCACUGUUUUCCCCUGGCCACUUUGUAACAGUGCACCCAAAGGUUGUUAUUUUGUUUUGUGGAAAAUUGUAUGUUUUGUUUGGGUUUUCUUUGUGUAGCUCUACUGUAUAGUUGUC